ACGGGUGAGUAACACGUGGGUGAUCUGCCUCGCACUUCGGGAUAAGCCUGGGAAACUGGGUCUAAUACCGGAUAUGACCUUCCAGUGCAUGCUGGUUGGUGGAAAGAUUUAUCGGUGCGAGAUGGGCCCGCGGCCUAUCAGCUUGUUGGUGAGGUAACGGCCCACCAAGGCGACGACGGGUAGCCGACCUGAGAGGGUGACCGGCCACACUGGGACUGAGACACGGCCCAGACUCCUACGGGAGGCAGCAGUGGGGAAUAUUGCACAAUGGGCGAAAGCCUGAUGCAGCGACGCCGCGUGGAGGAUGACGGCCUUCGGGUUGUAAACUCCUUUCGACAGGGACGAAGCGCAAGUGACGGUACCUGUAGAAGAAGCACCGGCCAACUACGUGCCAGCAGCCGCGGUAAUACGUAGGGUGCGAGCGUUGUCCGGAAUUACUGGGCGUAAAGAGCUUGUAGGCGGUUUGUCGCGUCUUCUGUGAAAACUUGGGGCUCAACCUUAAGCUUGCAGGCGAUACGGGCAGACUAGAGUACUUCAGGGGAGACUGGAAUUCCUGGUGUAGCGGUGAAAUGCGCAGAUAUCAGGAGGAACACCGGUGGCGAAGGCGGGUCUCUGGGAAGUAACUGACGCUGAGAAGCGAA
rnacentral:rRNA from 1 species